rnacentral:misc_RNA from 1 species
CCGUCCUUUUAUCAUUUUGGUUCGAAAAAACGACCGAUAAGUAGUAGUCUCUCGUGUUGCUGGUUUGAUCUCGAGCUCCAAAAGGGAGAAGAAGAAGACAAUAACCAAAAUAAGAAAUCAAAUUGCGCAAAAAUGAGGCGGCAGGUACAGUAUGCUGAUCCUGGUGCCAAUGCAUAUGCUGGUGCUCAGAUGCAGCGUAUUUCUGCUCAGAGGAUGGAAAACAGGUCUGAUACUGAUCAUUUCCAAGGACGACUAGAGGCCUUCACUCCUGAGAGAGAGCGCCCAUAUGCAACUUUAAAAGCAGAAGGACAAUGGAGAUGGGAAAGAGAUGAAUCAAAAGUUUCAAAUCCGAUGGCAUCACAAAGUUUCAGUGAAGGUCAAGGGGUUGAUGCAUCAAGAUCCUAUUUUCAGGGAAAGGGGCCAGGGCCAGGACCAGAGCCAAAACUAGCAUUAGAGAAGCAAGGCGUUAAUGAUCCUAGAUUUGGACCACAUGAAGGAGACAUGCAAAAUGGCUUUGAAGAAAAACCUUUGUUGCAGACUUUUGAAGGAAUUGAGCAGAAAUUCCUUGAUGACAUUGUAAAACUAGCCAAGGAACAGAAUGACACUGAGGAUGCAGAAAAUGCCAGACACAGAGAGAAGUUAAAUGC